UAGACCAGACCAUUUGGGCACUUCUUGUUUACCAUUUCCAGCGCACUAUGGUUUGUGACAAACGAAUCUUCGUCUGGCAUACUGUAUAGUAUGGAUAGUUUUGGGAUGCAACCUUUGACUCGAGACUUCAGAUCUUACAAGUUAGCGUGGAAAAGUCCAGUAUGUUGUCAAAUCAGUUAUUGUCCGAAAACUGUCUAUUGCAUUCCCCACAUCGGCACUUUUUGAGACAACAGGACUGUUACAGGUGAAGAAAUUCGGAAUUCUAAAGAAAGUGAAGCCCAGUGGAUCCAGGGAUGGCAUCUGUGAAGCAAGAAGACUGCAGUCAAACACUGGGAAAUGUCAUUAAAGAUGAAAAAGAAGAGAAUACUGGGGUUGCAGCUAAUCAUGCUGAGAGUCCUGAGGCCCAGACUUGUAUCUCUGGAGCACAGCAUCAGGAAGACCACAAAAAUCAGCAGCCUCACCACUGCCCUCUUUGUAUGAAGAGUUUCAAAUCCAUGACAACGCUCAAAAGACACAUGCCUUGGCAUACCAAAGAUAGAUCAUACUCCUGUGGUGACUGUGGCAAGCGCUUUAAAACAUCAAAUGCUCUUACAACACAUCUGAGAGUGCACACAGGAGAGAAGCCAUAUGUCUGCUCUGAUUGUGGGAUGAGUUUCUCUCAAGAUGGUACUCUCAAAGGACACCAGAAAAUACACACAGGAGUAAGGCCUUAUUGCUGCUCUGAUUGUAAGAUGGCUUUUUCUCGGCGUGGUACUCUCAACAAUCACCGGAAAAUACACACUGGAGAGAAACCAUAUCACUGCUCUGACUGUAAAAAGGAUUUUUCCCGACUUGGUACACUCAGAAUUCACCAGAAAAUACAUUCUGGAGAGAAACCAUAUCAUUGCACCGAUUGUAUCAAGUGUUUCAUUACAUCAGCUGAACUUACUGUUCACCAAAGAGUGCACACGGGAGAGAAACCUUAUCAUUGCGCUGUCUGUGGGAGGAGUUUUUCAAGACUUGAUACCCUAAGAAGUCACCAGAAAAUACAUACAAAAUAGAAGCUGUAGCAGUGUGCUGCCUGUGAGAUGAAAUUCAGUGACUGUUUAUUAUACAGUUGCAAGAAAAAAAGGGUAAACCUUUCUCAAUUACCUGUAUAAAUGGCUCCUAGAAUCCACGUCAUAACAGUAGGUAAGCAGUGUGACGGAAGAAAGAACACACACAUUUUUACUUUUAAAUGUACUUUGAAAACAACAGCAUAUGUACCUAAAGGAUAAUUACAUGUAAGGCUAGAAAGGCACACAAAAGCACUUCUAAAGACAUGGGCUUACAGUCUCACAGGUUGUUUAAAAAUUGACAAGCAAGAUCCGCUGCUACCCUCCUUGGAGUUGAGCAUUGAGCAAAGAUUGCAGCAAAGACAAGUCGUAUAAUGGUCAGUGAAGUGGAAAAAAAUCCAAGGGUAUCAUGGAUUUGUAGGCAUCUCUUGCACUUUUUGCCGGACUGCGUUAGCAUAGCUGGCCAAGAAGAGCAAGAGUGACUGACUCACCGACCGAACUAGCUUUGUUAAAUAGUGUAUUGGUUAGAGACACGGACUGUCAUGCAGGGGACCAUGGUUCGAUCCUUACCACAGCCUAAACAAAUUAGUCAAUAAGAUUUGUUCAGGAUAGACUAGAACUUUGUGUUAAUGCGAAUGGACGAACUGCAGCAGCAACAAACAUUGCUCUGAUUUUCGAUUAACAUAACAUAGUUCAAAUGGCAUAGUGACUAGCUUUUCUAUUGUCUAUUUGUUUUAGAAAUAAAUAAACCAACCAUGUAGUGGUUCAAGUAAUUUUUUCAUUAUAGGCACUGAAUAGCUAUUAGCUAGCCAUCCUCAAUAUAGUGUAGUGGUUAGAGAGGUGGACCAUCAUGUUGGCAACUGGGGUUCGAUCCUCACCAUAGAUCAAGCAAAUUAGGCAUUAGGAUAUGUUAAUUUUGUUUUCAAUUUACAUAGCAUAGUUCAUUUGACGUUGUGGUUAGCUGUUCGACUGUUUAUUUGUUUCCUAAAGAAACAAAUCAGCCAUGGAGUGAUUUGAGUCAUUGUUUUUGUUAUUGGUACUAUAUAGCUGUUAGCUAGCCAUCUACAGUAAUCUUCUAGUUAAAUGUGUUGAAUGUACCGUAGUGUAGCAUUAUACCUGUUGUUGGUUGAAUGUUAACUAAUGUAGGGAACUGUGCAGUUUUUUUAGAUUUUGCAUAUAUACUCAUGUAAUCAAUGAAUGUAUCAGUAUGUUAAUCACACUCAUACAGCUAAUCAGUAUGGUAAACUGUAUAAUCAUCAAUAUACAAGGCCUGCACCACCAAUAUUUAACAACAAUGGUUUGUUGGGUGAAUUCCAGAAAGAUAAGAAUUAAUAGUGGCGGAUCAAAGGGGAUUAACAUAAUUGGAUGGCCAGGUGGUGUCAUGCAAGAUCGUACUGAAUAAAAUUUAGUGUCCGAGGUUGGAAAGGCAUUUGUUCU